rnacentral:rRNA from 1 species
GACGAACGCUGGCGGCGUGCUUAACACAUGCAAGUGGAGCGACGAACCAGGGCUUGCCCUGGGGCAGAGCCGCGAACGGGUGAGUAACACGUGGGUAACGUGCCCCGAUGACCGGGACAACCCGGGGAAACCCGGGCUAAUACCGGAUGUGCCCCCUCACAUCAGUGAGGUGUGUAAAGGAAGCUUCGGCCUCCGCAUCGGGAUCGGCCCGCGGCCCAUUAGCUUGUUGGUGAGGUAACGGCUCACCAAGGCUGCGAUGGGUAGCUGGUCUGAGAGGACGAUCAGCCACACUGGGACUGAGACACGGCCCAGACUCCUACGGGAGGCAGCAGUGGGGAAUCUUGCGCAAUGCGCGAAAGCGUGACGCAGCAACGCCGCGUGGGGGAAGACGGCCUUCGGGUUGUAAACCCCUUUCAGUUGGGACGAAGGUCGGGCGGUUAACAGCCGUUCCGGCUGACGGUACCUUCACAAGAAGCCCCGGCUAACUACGUG